UAGGGAAUCUUCCACAAUGGACGCAAGUUUGAUGGAGCAACGCCGCGUGAGUGAAGAAGGGUCUCGGCUCGUAAAGCUCUGUUGUUAAAGAAAAACGUGGGUAAGAGUAACUGUUUACCCAGUGACGGUAUUUAACCAGAAAGCCACGGCUAACUACGUGCCAG
rnacentral:rRNA from 1 species